rnacentral:rRNA from 1 species
CCUACGGGUGGCAGCAGUGAGGAAUAUUGGUCAAUGGACGAGAGUCUGAACCAGCCAAGUAGCGUGAAGGAUGACUGCCCUCUGGGUUGUAAACUUCUUUUAUAUGGGAAUAAAAUGUUCCACGUGUGGGAUUUUGUAUGUACCAUAUGAAUAAGGAUCGGCUAACUCCGUGCCAGCAGCCGCGGUAAUACGGAGGAUCCGAGCGUUAUCCGGAUUUAUUGGGUUUAAAGGGAGCGUAGGUGGAUUGUUAAGUCAGUUGUGAAAGUUGGCGGCUCAACCGUAAAAUUGCAGUUGAAACUGGCAGUCUUGAGUGCAGUAGAGGUGGGCGGAAUUCGUGGUGUAGCGGUGAAAUGCUUAGAUAUCACGAAGAACUCCGAUUGCGAAGGCAGUUCACUGGACUGCAACUGACACUGAGGCUCGAAAGUGUGGGUAUCAAACAGGAUUAGAUACCCUAGUAGUC